AAAAGGAAGAACUGGAAAGCAUUCAACUAUCAACACAGCAGGAGCGCAGAGAGCAAGAUCCGUCCUGCAAGAAUGAAUUGGCUGAGCUAAGACAUGUCAGACCAGCGCCCAGGAAGCAAACCAUUGAAAAUGAAACAUACGAGGAAUAUGAAGAGGCUUUUGAGAAUGACUCAAUUGAAAAGGUGGUGGUGGCACGGAAGGCGAAGAGGCGAGUGAAUUUUUUCAAACGUAUAUUCACCUCUCGAAAAUGAAGACUUCACGAUGCAUGUUGGUGUUGAACCGGCCGACCCCUGUACGGAGCCAGUUCAGGGCAACCCACUCGUUCCAGGGCAUGUCCGAGCCAGGUGUGGCUGUGGUGUUUGGUGCAACAGUGAAUUGAGGAGGUCGGGAAGUCUGUUCCCAGCUGGUUCUCCAAGCUCCUAGUGUGUUGAAACCGGAGCCACAGAGGGUGGCUGCGUGACGGUAGAAGGGGCGAUCAGAUGACAGGCGUUGAGGUCCCAGUUGCUGUGAGUCCUGGGCGAGGUGGUGCAAAGGAUGUUUGGUGUCCGAAGGGGCCUUGCACACCAGCCUGUGGGUGAAGUACUCUCUGCGAAGCUUGGCGGGUGCGAUAGCUGCGAGCACCGGCAGAAGAUCCGGAGUAGGACGUAGGCAGCCGGUGAUGAUCCGCAUGGUGUCGUUGAGGAUGGCGUCCAGCUUGCUAGUAUGAGCGCUGCGGCAUCAUGCUGGGGCGGUGUACACAGCGGUGCUGUACACGAGUGCAAGAGACUGGUUCAGAGAAUAGAUAUCCAGGCGCCCCAUGAUGAUCCAGCCAAGCAAUGCAGGAGGUACACAAAAUGCUGGAGAAACUCAGUGGGUGCAGCAGCAUCUAUGGAGCGAAGGAAAUAGGCAAUGUUUCGGGCCGAAAC